rnacentral:rRNA from 1 species
UGCAAGUCGAACGAAAGAGAGGGAGCUUGCUUCCUCAAUCGAGUGGCGAACGGGUGAGUAACGCGUGAGGAACCUGCCUCAAAGAGGGGGACAACAGUUGGAAACGACUGCUAAUACCGCAUAAGCCCACGACCCGGCAUCGGGUAGAGGGAAAAGGAGCAAUCCGCUUUGAGAUGGCCUCGCGUCCGAUUAGCUAGUUGGUGAGGUAAUGGCCCACCAAGGCGACGAUCGGUAGCCGGACUGAGAGGUUGAACGGCCACAUUGGGACUGAGACACGGCCCAGACUCCUACGGGAGGCAGCAGUGGGGAAUAUUGCACAAUGGGGGAAACCCUGAUGCAGCGACGCCGCGUGGAGGAAGAAGGUCUUCGGAUUGUAAACUCCUGUUGUUGAGGAAGAUAAUGACGGUACUCAACAAGGAAGUGACGGCUAACUACGUGCCAGCAGCCGCGGUAAAACGUAGGUCACAAGCGUUGUCCGGAAUUACUGGGUGUAAAGGGAGCGCAGGCGGGAAGACAAGUUGGAAGUGAAAUCCAUGGGCUCAACCCAUGAACUGCUUUCAAAACUGUUUUUCUUGAGUAGUGCAGAGGUAGGCGGAA